GAUGAAGAACGCAGCGAAAUGCGAUAAGUAAUGUGAAUUGCAGAAUUCAGUGAAUCAUCGAAUCUUUGAACGCACCUUGCACCCUUUGGCAUUCCGAAGGGUAUGCUCGUUUGAGUGUCAUUGUACUCUCGCACUUCCAAUCUUUGGAUUGGGAGCGGUGGACUUGGGUGUUGCUGCUUACUGUGGCCCACCUCAAAUCGAUUCGUGCACCUCUUGGUUGGACAUAGUACGGCGUGAUAAGUGUCUUCGCCGGCACCUCAGUAGAGGGUGGCUGAUCAGGAGCUCUGUGCUUCAAACCGUCCUCGGACAACAACUGACAACUUGACCUCAAAUCGAGUAGGACUACCCGCUGAACUUAAGCAUAUCAAUAAGCGGAGGA
rnacentral:misc_RNA from 1 species